UACGAGGGGGGCGAGCGUUGUUCGGAAUUAUUGGGCGUAAAGGGUGCGUAGGCGGUUUGGUAAGUCUUAUGUGAAAUCUAUGGGCUCAACUCAUAGUCUGCAUGAGAAACUGCCGGGCUUGAGUAUGGGAGAGGUGAGUGGAAUUCCCGGUGUAGCGGUGAAAAUGCGUAGAUAUCGGGAGGAACACCAGUGGCGAAGGCGAUCAUCUGGGGUUGUUCUGACACUGAGGAGCGAAAGCUAGGGGAGCAAACGGG
rnacentral:rRNA from 1 species